CAAGAAUGGUUCGCUUUAACCAACAACUUGACGACAAAAGGAUCAUAAUAACUGGCACUCCUACUGAAUCAUUUACAAUCAACCUAAAGAAUUGGAAUCAACAUGCAAAUCAUUCAAAUUGUGAACAUGGAAUCGUCGCUUUUCAUAUGAGUGUUAGGUUUUGGUAUUGGGAUAAGCAUGUAGUCUUUGAUUCUAAGCCCUUGGGUGAUUCGUGGAAAAUCAAUCGCAAACUCGGACGUUUUCCAUUUGCAAAGCAUGUUCAAUUUAAGUUACAAAUCACAAUACGCAGAAAUAGAUAUGAGCUUCUCUUUGGCGAUGGCAGUACUCACAACUGGAAUCUCGCAAAUGAAAACGUAGAUAUGUUGUGCAUUAACGGUGAUCUGACAGUCCACAACAUUCUGACAACAUAAAAAUCACUGUAUUAACUUCAAGCACAGCGCAGGAGAGAGCCGCCUUUUAAAGAAAUUUAAACAUAAAAUACUGACACGUUUUUAAAACGCUUCAGUGUGUUAAAUAAAUC